rnacentral:rRNA from 1 species
UCCCCUAGUAACUGCGAGUGAAGCGGGAAAAGCUCAAAUUUAAAAUCUGGCGUCCUUAGGGCGUCCGAGUUGUAGUCUGGAGAAGCGUCUUCCGUGCUGGACCAUGCAUAAAUCUCUUGGAACAGAGUAUCAUAGUGGGUGAGAAUCCCGUCUUUGGCAUGGACUACCAGUGCUCUGUGAUGCGCUCUCAAAGAGUCGCGUUGUUUGGGAAUGCAGCGCAAAAUGGGUGGUAAAUUCCAUCUAAAGCUAAAUAUUGGCGAGAGACCGAUAGCGAACAAGUACCGUGAGGGAAAGAUGAAAAGCACUUUGGAAAGAGAGUUAAACAGUACGUGAAAUUGUUGAAAGGGAAACGCUUGAAGUCAGUCGCGUCGUGCGGGACUCAGCCUUGCUUCUGCUUGGUGUAUUUCCUGUACGACGGGCCAGCAUCGAUUUUGAUCGUCGGAAAAAGUUCAGGGGAAUGUGGCACCUUCGGGUGUGUUAUAGCCCUUGUUCGCAUGCGACGGUUGGGAUCGAGGUUCGCAGCACGCCUUUAUGGCCGGGGUUCGCCCACGUACGUGCUUAGGAUGCUGGCGUAAUGGCUUUAAACGAC